CGGCGCGUUCCGGCACACGUCGGGCGUGUCGACGGUACCGCGACGCUGCGUUCUUCCUCCGGGGAGAGCGCGCGUCCGCGACCGUGACCCAAACCAAACGAUCGAAGUGAGCUCGUGCUCGAUGGUUUUGCAUGGAAUCGUGGAACGGGACCCUGGCUCGCGUUUCGCACGCGUUCCGCGAGAGCCAGGGCGACGAUCAACGGGAGCGGUCGGAGGCGAGGGAACUGCCGGGCGAGGGGUAAAAUCUGAUGAGCCUGGCAAGACCACCGAAAGCGAAGGCACUCGCCGAGGCCGUUUCCGUCGAUAAAGAACCGAAGCCACCAUAGACAAUGGGAUUAGAUACCCCAGUAUCGGUGUGCCCCAAACUAUGCCGUCCGGCUGGACGUCGGCUAACAUUGUGGCCGGCGUUCGGUCCGAGGAAGCUGGAGCGAUUUGGCUUCUGGGAGAUUACGGCUGCAAAGCUGAAACUUAAAGGAAUUGACGGAAGGGCACCAUCAGGUCUGGAUUGUGCGGCUCAAUUGGAUUCGACGCCCGACACCCCACCAGGACAGGAGCGCCCGAUGAAGCACCGGCCGAAUACCUCUGCCGAUGGGCGUGCGGGUGGUGCAUGGCCGCCGUAGUUCGUGAGGUGACUUGUCUGGUUGGUUCCGACAACGAACGCAACCGCCGUGCCCCGCUACGACCCGAGGCCCACGACCGCGUUUCGGCGCGGUCUCCUCGGUUCGAUCCGGACAACUAACCCGCGAAUGGGUCUUCACCCAAAGUGGAGUAAGCUACGGCGAUGGCAGUCCGUAAUGCCCCAGAUGCUCUGGAUAGCACGCGCCAUACAAUGCUGCUCGAGCGCGACGCUGCCCCAGAGGGGAUCGGAUUGCGGGAAAAGCGGGCCCGGCGGGAUCAGAUGAACUGU
rnacentral:rRNA from 1 species